rnacentral:rRNA from 1 species
AGUGAACGCUGGCGGUAGGCCUAACACAUGCAAGUCGAACGGCAGCACAGUAAGAGCUUGCUCUUACGGGUGGCGAGUGGCGGACGGGUGAGGAAUACAUCGGAAUCUACUUUUUCGUGGGGGAUAACGUAGGGAAACUUACGCUAAUACCGCAUACGACCUACGGGUGAAAGCAGGGGAUCUUCGGACCUUGCGCGAUUGAAUGAGCCGAUGUCGGAUUAGCUAGUUGGCGGGGCAAAGGCCCACCAAGGCGACGAUCCGUAGCUGGCCUGAGAGGAUGAUCGGCCACACUGGAACUGAGACACGGUCCAGACUCCUACGGGAGGCAGCAGUGGGGAAUAUUGGACAAUGGGCGCAAGCCUGAUCCAGCCAUACCGCGUGGGUGAAGAAGGCCUUCGGGUUGUAAAGCCCUUUUGUUGGGAAAGAAAAGCAGCAGGUUAAUACCCCGCUGUUCUGACGGUACCCAAAGAAUAAGCACCGGCUAACUUCGUG